rnacentral:rRNA from 1 species
UACGUAGGGUGCAAGCGUUGUCCGGAAUUAUUGGGCGUAAAGAGCUCGUAGGCGGUCUGUCGCGUCGCUGUGAAAUCCCGAGGCUCAACCUCGGGUCUGCAGUCGAUACGGGCAAACUAGAGUAUUGCAGGGGAGACUGGAAUUCCUGGUGUAGCGGUGAAAUGCGCAGAUAUCAGGAGGAACACCGGUGGCGAAGGCGGGUCUCUGGGCAAUAACUGACGCUGAGGAGCGAAAGCGUGGGGAGCGAACAGG